ensembl:lncRNA
AUGGGGAUGGGGAUGGGGAUGGGGAUGGGGAUGGGGAUGGGGAUGGGGAUGGGGAUGGGGAUGGGGAUGGGGAUGGGAAUGGGGAUGGGGAUGGGGAUGGGGAUGGGGAUGGGGAUGGGGAUGGGAAUGGGAAUGGGAAUGGGAAUGGGGAUGGGGACAGAGACAGGGAUAGGGGCAGGGACGGGGACAGGGACAGGGACAGGGACAGGGACAGGGACAGGGACAGGGACAGGGAUGGUGCAGGGCUCAGCCAGGCUCCUCUCCACGCAGCACGCUUGGGCUCACAGAGCUCUGUGCCUGCAGCAGGAGCCACCCUGGCCCACAAACACCAGUGGCAUCUGCAUCAGUGGCCUCAUCAGGCAGAGCCCCAGCCAUUGUCACUCUUCUGGGCUUUCCCAAAUAGGUGCAGGCUGUGGGAGGGCCACGGGAGUGAGAAGAAACGCAGUGCCCUGCUCAUCUCCUUCAUUCUUGCUUCUUGCUCAGCAUCCCUGCUCCGGGAUGUCCCCACCUCCAUCUCUGCGCCCUGUGGCUUGGCAUGGUGACCGCUGCAAGACCCGGCUCACAGAGCGGAGAAACAAACUUCUUUCACUUUUUAGGAGCUUUUCUUUCAGCCACGAGCGGGCAGCUCCUGCAGCCAAACCACAGCAGCAGCAGCAGGGCAAGCUGCGCUCAGAUUUAUGGUCUGCCAUAGCCCUAUCUGGGCUGCACGUGACCAGCUCCGAAAUCCCAGGACCUCUGCUCUCCCUCGACCACGCGCCCAGCUCCCGAGUCUGCUAUAAUGGGAUGCUUGACAUUAGUUUGACACUGCCGAGGUUCUUGUUUUUGAAGACUCCAAUUGCUUUGGGAACUGCAGCGGCGCUGACAGAUCUACAGCAUUUCCCCGCGGACCGCGCGGCUCGGGUGGAUGCGGAUGUUUCCACGAUUCAGAGAAAUCCACUUAAAAGAAGCAGCGGGGCACGUGGGAGCCGUGCGGGAACGUCUGCUUCCCUUCCCACCGCCAGCACUUCAGUGGGGGCAAGGGGAACCCGCUGCUGAUUUUUGGCUCAUUGUCACGUGGGCACCAAAGCGCAUCCGCGAGCAUCCGCAACGUGUGCCCGGCCGGGACAGCCCUCACCACUGGGUUUUCCCAUCGGAGGGAAAGCGAUUUGUCUCCAUUUGUGACACGAGGAGAGGCGGUGGAUGAAUGAUAGUGUUGCAUACAUCAUCUGGAUGCUCUUAAGGGUGAGGAUUUUCUCCAGGGGAGAGUGCCGAGGCCGUGCGGAGCCGCUGCACGCACGCAUCCCCGGAGCAAACAAACAUGGAUGUUUUAGGGCUCGCCCUCGUGCUGGUGGCUGUAUUUUUAGCUCCCAGCCCUUGCUGGCUCUGUACAAAUGUCCCGUGGUGUUUCCACUCAGCUGCAGCUCAUCCCCACGCUCUCCAGCUCUUCCAAACUCAUCGGGCAUCCCAAUGAUUCCCACCAUGCAGUGUCCCCCGGGUGCUCCCCAUGCACACAGGAUGUCCCCAUCCCUCCCCAUGUACGUGCCUUUGUGCUUGGAUGCUGUCGGCCUCUGCUCUCAGGCAACAGCUAUAGGAUGAGAGAUGACGGCCUCAAGUUGCAUGAAGGGAGGGCCAGGCUGGGUAUCAGGAAGAAGUUCUUCUCCAAAAGAGCAGUGCUGCUCUGGCACAGGCUGCCCAGGGAGUGGUGGGGUCACCGUCCCUGGAGGUGCUCAAGAAAAGUGUAUAUCUGGCACUGAGGGACGUGGUCAGUGGGCAUGGUGGGGGUGGGCUGUGCUUGGGGAUCCAGAUUAGAGGUCUUCUCCAGCCUUAAUGAUUCUAUCAUUGUACGACCCAGGCCAGCACAGGAGCCCUCCCCCAGCAGGACCCAACGCCAGCCCCAGCACCCACCUCUUCCCCAAUUUCCCCUCUGCGGUGGCUGUGGGAGGGUGGAGCCAGGCAUGGAGCUGAGCCUCUCCCUCCCACAUUCCUCCCCCAUGCAUCAGCUCCCGGAGCCAUGGCCAGGUGCGGGGUGGGACAGAGAACCUGGAAGUCCUCGAGCAGCCAGCAGGCGGUGGGAACUGGGAGAGGCUUCACCCACCACCAAAAAACCAGAAUGUGAAAUAUAUAUAUGAUGGGAUAGCAUUAUAUUGUAUAUAUUAUUGUAUAUACUUAUCAAUAGAUGAUAUAUGUGUAUCAUUCAUAGACUACAGAUGGGGCCCUGGGCAGCUUGAGCUGGUGGGGGGCAGCCAGCCCACGGCAGGGAUUGGGGCUGGGGGGCUGCGUGGUCCCUUCCAACCCAACCAUGCUGUCAUCCUAUGGCAUCCUCACAACCCUGCCCAGAAAUGUUCCAAAACGAGUCGGAAACCAGGUGAAAAGGAGCAGAUAAGAGGGACGGAGAUAAGAAACCCUUAAAGGAAGGCCACGGAUAACAACAUGACACUUGGGUGCAUUGCAUUUCAGCAGAGCAGAUGCUGACUGAGUUGAUGAGGGUUGAAUUAAUUUGGGUAUUCUAAUAGCUCCUGCUUGACGCUAAUAAAAGCGACGUUUUGUGCA